rnacentral:rRNA from 1 species
GUCUAAGCAGUGAGAUUGAGUGUUAGGCAAAUCCGGCACUCUUAAGAUUGAGCUGUGAUGGGGAGAGGAAAUUGUUUCCUCGAGUCGUUGAUUUCACACUGCCGAGAAAAGCCUCUAGAUAGAUAAUAGGUGCCCGUACCGCAAACCGACACAGGUAGUCAAGAUGAGAAUUCUAAGGUGAGCGAGCGAACUCUCGUUAAGGAACUCGGCAAAAUGACCCCGUAACUUCGGGAGAAGGGGUGCUCUUUAGGGUGCAAGCCCAGAAGAGCCGCAGUGAAUAGGCCCAAGCGACUGUUUAUCAAAAACACAGGUCUCUGCUAAACCGUAAGGUGAUGUAUAGGGGCUGACGCCUGCCCGGUGCUGGAAGGUUAAGAGGAGUGGUUAGCUUCUGCGAAGCUACGAAUCGAAGCCCCAGUAAACGGCGGCCGUAACUAUAACGGUCCUAAGGUAGCGAAAUUCCUUGUCGGGUAAGUUCCGACCCGCACGAAAGGCGUAACGAUUUGGGCACUGUCUCAACGAGAGACUCGGUGAAAUCAUAGUACCUGUGAAGAUGCAGGUUACCCGCGACAGGACGGAAAGACCCCGUGGAGCUUUACUGUAGCCUGAUAUUGAAAUUCGGCACAGCUUGUACAGGAUAGGUAGGAGCCUUUGAAACGUGAGCGCUAGCUUACGUGGAGGCGCUGGUGGGAUACUACCCUAGCUGUGUUGGCUUUCUAACCCGCACCACUUAUCGUGGUGGGAGACAGUGUCAGGCGGGCAGUUUGACUGGGGCGGUCGCCUCCUAAAAGGUAACGGAGGCGCUCAAAGGUUCCCUCAGAAUGGUUGGAAAUCAUUCAUAGAGUGUAAAGGCAUAAGGGAGCUUGACUGCGAGACCUACAAGUCGAGCAGGGUCGAAAGACGGACUUAGUGAUCCGGUGGUUCCGCAUGGAAGGGCCAUCGCUCAACGGAUAAAAGCUACCCCGGGGAUAACAGGCUUAUCUCCCCCAAGAGUUCACAUCGACGGGGAGGUUUGGCACCUCGAUGUCGGCUCAUCGCAUCCUGGGGCUGUAGUCGGUCCCAAGGGUUGGGCUGUUCGCCCAUUAAAGCGGUACGCGAGCUGGGUUCAGAACGUCGUGAGACAGUUCGGUCCCUAUCCGUCGUGGGCGUAGGAAAUUUGAGAGGAGCUGUCCUUAGUACGAGAGGACCGGGAUGGACAUACCUCUGGUGUACCAGUUGUCGUGCCAACGGCAUAGCUGGGUAGCUAUGUAUGGACGGGAUAAGUGCUGAAAGCAUCUAAGCAUGAAGCCCCCCUCAAGAUGAGAUUUCCCAACUUCGGUUAUAAGAUCCCUCAAAGAUGAUGAGGUUAAUAGGUUCGAGGUGGAAGCGUGGUGACACGUGGAGCUGACGAAUACUAAUCGAUCGAAGACUUAAUCAAUUU